CUACGGGCUGCUCCAGUGGGGAAUAUUGCACAAUGGAGGAAACUCUGAUGCAGCAACGCCGCGUGGAGGAUGACACUUUUCGGAGCGUAAACUCCUUUUAUAUAGGAAGAAGAUGACGGUACUAUAUGAAUAAGCGCCGGCUAACUCCGUGCCAGCAGCCGCGGUAAUACGGAGGGCGCAAGCGUUACUCGGAAUCACUGGGCGUAAAGAGCGUGUAGGCGGAUUAAAAAGUCAGAAGUGAAAUCCUAUAGCUUAACUAUAGAACUGCUUCUGAAACUCUUAAUCUAGAAUAUGGGAGAGGUAGAUGGAAUUUCUGGUGUAGGGGUAAUAUCUGUAGAGAUCAGAAGGAAUACCGAUUGCGAAGGCGAUCUACUAGAACAUUAUUGACGCUGAGACGCGAAAGCGUGGGGAGCAAACAGGAUUAGAUACCCGGGUAGUC
rnacentral:rRNA from 1 species